GAUGAACGCUGGCGGCGUGCCUAAUACAUGCAAGUCGAGCGAACGGACGAGAAGCUUGCUUCUCCGAUGUUAGCGGCGGACGGGUGAGUAACACGUGGAUAACCUACCUAUAAGACUGGGAUAACUUCGGGAAACCGGAGCUAAUACCGGAUAAUAUUUUGAACCGCAUGGUUCAAAAGUGAAAGACGGUCUUGCUGUCACUUAUAGAUGGAUCCGCGCUGCAUUAGCUAGUUGGUAAGGUAACGGCUUACCAAGGCAACGAUGCAUAGCCGACCUGAGAGGGUGAUCGGCCACACUGGAACUGAGACACGGUCCAGACUCCUACGGGAGGCAGCAGUAGGGAAUCUUCCGCAAUGGGCGAAAGCCUGACGGAGCAACGCCGCGUGAGUGAUGAAGGUCUUCGGAUCGUAAAACUCUGUUAUUAGGGAAGAACAUAUGUGUAAGUAACUGUGCACAUCUUGACGGUACCUAAUCAGAAAGCCACGGCUAACUACGUGCCAGCAGCCGCGGUAAUACGUAGGUGGCAAGCGUUAUCCGGAAUUAUUGGGCGUAAAGCGCGCGUAGGCGGUUUUUUAAGUCUGAUGUGAAAGCCCACGGCUCAACCGUGGAGGGUCAUUGGAAACUGGAAAACUUGAGUGCAGAAGAGGAAAGUGGAAUUCCAUGUGUAGCGGUGAAAUGCGCAGAGAUAUGGAGGAACACCAGUGGCGAAGGCGACUUUCUGGUCUGUAACUGACGCUGAUGUGCGAAAGCGUGGGGAUCAAACAGG
rnacentral:rRNA from 1 species